rnacentral:rRNA from 1 species
ACGGAGGAUCCGAGCGUUAUCCGGAAUCAUUGGGUUUAAAGGGUCCGUAGGCGGGCCAUUAAGUCAGGGGUGAAAGUCUGCGGCUCAACCGUAGAAUUGCCCUUGAUACUGGUGGUCUUGAGUUAUGGUGAAGUAACUAGAAUAUGUAGUGUAGCGGUGAAAUGCAUAGAUAUUACAUAGAAUACCGAUUGCGAAGGCAGGUUACUAACCAUAUACUGACGCUGAUGGACGAAAGCGUGGGGAGCGAACAGG